GUCUCUGUGGCGCAAUUGGUUAGCGCGUUCAGCUGUUAACCGAAAUGUUGGUGGUUCGAGCCCACCCAGGGACG
rnacentral:tRNA from 1 species